GACGAACGCUGGCGGCGUGCUUAACACAUGCAAGUCGAACGGUGAAGCGCCUUCCUUUUUGGUGGGUGUGGAUGAGUGGCGAACGGGUGAGUAACACGUGAGUAACCUGCCCCCUUCUUCUGGAUAACCGCAUGAAAGUGUGGCUAAUACGGGAUAUUCUGGGUCUGUCGCAUGAUGGGUCUGGGAAAGAUAUUGUUUCGGUGGGGGAUGGGCUCGCGGCCUGUCAGCUUGUUGGUGGGGUGAUGGCCUACCAAGGCGGUGACGGGUAGCCGGCCUGAGAGGGUGGACGGUCACACUGGGACUGAGACACGGCCCAGACUCCUACGGGAGGCAGCAGUGGGGAAUAUUGCACAAUGGGCGCAAGCCUGAUGCAGCGACGCCGCGUGAGGGAUGGAGGCCUUCGGGUUGUGAACCUCUUUCGCCAGUGAAGCAGGCCUGCCUCGUUUGUGGGUGGGUUGACGGUAGCUGGAUAAGAAGCGCCGGCUAACUACGU
rnacentral:rRNA from 1 species